rnacentral:misc_RNA from 1 species
GAAAUGCGAUAAGUAAUGUGAAUUGCAGAAUUCAGUGAAUCAUCGAAUCUUUGAACGCACAUUGCGCCCGCCAGUAUUCUGGCGGGCAUGCCUGUUCGAGCGUCAUUACAACCCUCAGGCCCCCGGGCCUGGCGUUGGGGAUCGGCGGAAGCCCCCUGCGGGCACAACGCCGUCCCCCAAAUACAGUGGCGGUCCCGCCGCAGCCUCCAUUGCGUAGUAGCUAACACCUCGCAACUGGAGAGCGGCGCGGCCACGCCGUAAAACACCCAACUUCUGAAUGUUGACCUCGAAUCAGGUAGGAAUACCCGCUGAACUUAAGC